CCUGAGAAACCCGAAAGAUCGAAUGGGGAGAUUCACCGUCAGCGACUUUGGCUUCGCGGUGGUGCGCGAUGCCGGCGGCCGCCCUUCGCGGGGCACCGCCGCACGUCGCCACCGUGUCUCAUGUCCAAACGACGUCGGCGUGCACUUCUCCCCUAGUAGGACGUCGCGACCCGUUGGGUGUCGGUCUACGGCCCGGUGCGCCGCCUGUCCCGUCGCGCUUCACGGCGUCGCGGGGCAGACGCCCGGUCGCCCGACCGGCUGCUCGGCGGUACUCCCACGGUAUACGGCCGCAGCUCGACUGCGUCUCAGGCCCGCCGCAAGCGCGGUCAGUGUAACAACCCGGAGGCUACGGACCCAGCGCCGUCCCCGGGCCUGGCCCGCUGUUCGCCGGCGGACGUCCUCUGACAGGCCGAUCUCGCGCGCGAAAGCGCGCGUGUGUGAUUACCGGUCGGCGACGCUACUGCUUUGGGUACUUUCAGG
rnacentral:rRNA from 1 species